rnacentral:rRNA from 1 species
CCAUGAAUCUGGUCUUGGGACACUGUCAGGUGGGCAGUUUGACUGGGGCGGUCGCCUCCCAAAAGGUAACGGAGGCGCUCAAAGGUUCUCUCAGUACGGUCGGAAAUCGUACGUAGAGUGUAAAGGCAAAAGAGAGCUUGAUUGCAAGACAUACAGGUCGAGCAAGGAUGAAAAUCGGACUUAGUGAUCCGGUGGUUCUGCGUGGAAGGGCCAUCGCUCAACGGAUAAAAGCUACCCUGGGGAUAACAGGCUUAUCUCCCCCAAGAGUCCACAUCGACGGGGAGGUUUGGCACCUCGAUGUCGGCUCAUCACAUCCUGGGGCUGUAGUAGGUCCCAAGGGUUGGGCUGUUCGCCCAUUAAAGUGGUACGCGAGCUGGGUUCAGAACGUCGUGAGACAGUUCGGUCCCUAUCCGUCGCAGGCGUAGGAAAUUUGAGAAGACCUGUCCUUAGUACGAGAGGACCGGGAUGGACGUACCUCUGGUGUACCAGUUGUCCUGCCAAGGGCAUGGCUGGGUAGCUAUGUGCGGAAUGGAUAAGCGCUGAAAGCAUCUAAGCGCGAAGCCAACUUCAAGAUAAGAUUUCCCACCGCAAGGGUAAGACCCCAGAAAGACUAUCUGGUUGAUAGGUCGAAGGUGUAAGUGCAGCAAUGUAUUUAGCUUAUCGAUACUAAUAGGUCGAGGACUUGACCAAUAUU